rnacentral:rRNA from 1 species
AGUGAACGCUGGCGGUAGGCCUAACACAUGCAAGUCGAACGGCAGCACAGUAAGAGCUUGCGCUUACGGGUGGCGAGUGGCGGACGGGUGAGGAAUACAUCGGAAUCUACUUUUUCGUGGGGGAUAACGUAGGGAAACUUACGCUAAUACCGCAUACGACCUACGGGUGAAAGCAGGGGAUCUUCGGACCUUGCGCGAUUGAAUGAGCCGAUGUCGGAUUAGCUAGUUGGCGGGGUAAAGGCCCACCAAGGCGACGAUCCGUAGCUGGUCUGAGAGGAGGGUCAGCCACACUGGAACUGAGACACGGUCCAGACUCCUACGGGCGGCAGCAGUGGGGAAUAUUGGACAAUGUGCGCAAGCCUGAUCCAGCCAUGCAGCGUGGGUGAAGAAGGCCUUCGGGUUGUAAAGCCCUUUUGUUGUGAAAGAAAAGCAGCAGGUUAAUACCACGCUGUUCUGACGGUACCCAAAGAAUAAACACCGGCGAACUUCUG